ensembl:lncRNA
GGGCUCCUCACUGCGGUGGUUUCCUGUUGCGGAGUGCAGGCGCUCAGGUGCUCAGGUGCAUGGGCUCAGCAGUCGUGGUGCAUGGGCUUAGUUGCCCUGUGGCAUGUGGAAUCUUCCCAGAUCAGGGACUGAACCUGUGUCCCCUGCAUUCCCACCAGGGAAGUCCUGAAGAACUUUUAAAAUUCAAGUAGGAAAACUCUGAGAUCUCCGUGUCUAUCUAGAUGUAUGUAUGUCUCUGUGUGUGUUAUGAAUGUGAUGUUUCUACCUCUGGAUGAUAUCAUCAAUAUGAAUUUGUAAAAGAGCUUUAUUUGAUUGACUUAAAAGUGACCUCUUAUACUGUGCUUAGUUGCUCAGUUGUGUCCAGCUCUCUGCGACCUCAUGGGCUACAGUCCAUAGGGUCUCAAAGAUUCGGAUACGACUAAAGCGACUUGGCACAAGUUUGCUGAAAGUCAAUAAGUUCAUGUUAUCUAUGUCACAAAAUUUCUCAGCAAGAAAAUUAACUUGGUGUGAUGAUAUUUUCACAAGUAAUGAAGUACAGAUAAAUGAGAUAAAAGUUUUAGGUGAGCUCUUAAAGAAUGAUUAUGUUUUAUGGUAUGUCUAAA